UCUGAAUGAAUAUUUGAAAGAUAUAGUAAAAUACAAAGAAAAUAAAAUUCAAGCAUGAAUCCCACAUACAUGUAUUGCAGUGUAUAGUUCACAUAAAAACAAAAAACACAAAACAAUCCUCUGACAGAUUGUAUUUUCCCAAAAUGGCACAGCAAUAUUUCUGUUCUUACAUUCUCCUCUAGAACCUUGCCACUUCCCAUCUGGAGAUAGAAUCUCUUUCCCCUUUAUUUGAACAUAGGUGGGACUUGUGACUCCUCAACCAAUAGGAAAUAGUGGAAUGGAUGCAGUGUGCCUUCUGAGGUUGGGUCAUACAUGGUGACAUAGUUCCUUCUGGCUGCCUCUCAGGAUGUUCACCCUUGCAUUCAGCCACCAUGUGGAGAAGAAGCUCCAAGAGACCAUGGGGAGAAGCCUCUUGGAGAGGCCUGCCUGGAGGAGAAUUAAGAUCCCCAAUCAGUGUAAGCCACCAAAAGUGUAUAUAAGUGAAUGGGAGAAGAGGAAACAGAGAUCACAUAGCAUGCUGGGGGAGAGAGAAAGAUUUGGAGAUCUGAGUUACAGAAGAUUAUGGUUUGCAGUUGAUUCUGCCGGAAAUGAGCAAAUACAAUGAGGAUCAUUUUCUCAGGAAAAUCUCCAUAAUACAGGGGUCUGUUGUCUCACUCACAAAACCAUGUAAGGAUUCCAUUUCAGUUUUGAAGUGUCAGGGUAUUCUCAUUGUGAUUAGGGAUUAUUAUGUGGGAAGAUAUUAAUGAUUUGCAAGUAAAUAUGGAAAGUUGUGUAUGCUAGAUAGAAGGUAAAGGAAAUAGAUUCCCCUUCAUGGCUCUUCUACUCCCAACAUCUAUGUGUCAAGGACUCAAAUGAGGUCCAGCUCAGGUGGCCUAGUGGUUAAGUUCAGCAUACUCUGCUUUGGCAGCCUGGCUUUGGUUCCUGGACACUAACAUACACCACCUUGUUAGCAGCUGUGCUGUCCACGCCCGCAUACUAAAACAUAGAGGAAUAUUGGCAAGGAUGUUAGCUCAGGGCAAAUCUUCCUCAGCAAAAAUAAAAUAAAAUAAAGAACCCA
rnacentral:lncRNA from 1 species